AAUGAACCUAGCGGCGGACGGGUGAGUAACACGUGGGCAACCUGCCCUAAGGAGCGGGAUAACACCAGGAAACUGGUGCUGAUACCGCAUAACGAGUCUUCAACGCAUGUUGGAGCCUUCAAAGAUUUAUCGCUUUAGGAUGGGCCCGCGUCCCAUUAGCUAGUUGGUGAGGUAACGGCUCACCAAGGCGACGAUGGGUAGCCGGCCUGAGAGGGUGUACGGCCACACUGGGACUGAGACACGGCCCAGACUCCUACGGGAGGCAGCAGUAGGGAAUAUUGCGCAAUGGACGGAAGUCUGACGCAGCGACGCCGCGUGAGCGAUGAAGGCCUUCGGGUCGUAAAGCUCUGUCCUUGGGGAAGAAGGUCUUCGGACUUGACGGUACCCAAGAAGAAAGCCCCGGCUAACUACGUGCCAGCAGCCGCGGUAAUACGUAGGGGGCGAGCGUUGUCCGGAAUUACUGGGCGUAAAGGGUGCGUAGGCGGCCCUUUAAGUCAGAUGUGAAAGGCCACGGCUUAACCGUGGGAUUGCAUUUGAAACUGGAGGGCUUGAGUGUCGGAGAGGGUAGUGGAAUUCCCAGUGUAGCGGUGAAAUGCGUAGAUAUUGGGAGGAACACCAGUGGCGAAGGCGACUACCUGGACGAUAACUGACGCUGAGGCACGAAAKUUAGGGGUUCAAACAGGAUUAGAUACCCUGGUAGUCCUAGCCGUAAA
rnacentral:rRNA from 1 species